CAGUCAGGCUGGUUGGUGGUUCAUCUGAACAGCAUUCGCUGUUUUGUUCCUGUUUUACCUUCCUCAUUGUUAUCAUUCUCCAGUUUUGUUUGUCUCUUGCUUUCCCUAAGGACUCUACCCCUCGUGCCUCAUCUCUGGGCUUUUGGGCGUUGAUUAUUGAGACUCUCAUUCUCAACCUAUGGCCUGCUGAUUCUUCCCACAGAGCCCCAUCUCCGUGUGGCUCUGCUCUGCAGCUCCUGUGUAUGUCUGUGCCAUCUGCCAGCUGUCCUAAGAGCUUCUGAGCUGUAGUAAGCACGUUCAUCCAGACAGGCUGCCGGCAGAUAAUAUUCGGCGUUGAUGGCGCAACAGAACCAGGAUGGAUAUUUCUGUUUUGCCAAACAACAACCACCCAGAGAAGUUCCUUCAGUUGGAUGUUGGGACACUUCGAGCCACACAUGGCAUGUUCCAGAUUGGGACAGUCAUGUCUAGUCAAAGGCAAUGGCAGAACAGAAUUUACUCCCAGAGGGAGCAAAGGGUUAAGACUGACAACAGGCCUCCCCCAUCACCAGAAGGCACUCCUGCUGUAUUUAUCGACAGAUAUCUGGAGAAUCACAUUACAUCAGUGACUCUGAAGUCCAACAUUAAAAUGAAUCCUCUGUACGUGGACACAAGAGCAGUGGACACAGUGGACAAAGAGAAGUACAAGCCAUCCUGGACUGUGAAGGAGUAUGAUACACAAACAAUCCAUGGCAAUCUCGCAAAUUAUUUAAAGAUCUCAAUCCAACUGAGCAUCUGUGGGAUGUGCUGGAAAACCAAGUUAAAUCCAUGGAGGCCCCAUCUUGGAUCUGCUGCUGAUGUCUUGAUGUUGGAUAUCGGAAGACACUUUCAGAGCUCUGGUGGCGUCUUUGCCUUGACAGGCCAGAGCUGCUUUGGCAGCAUGAGGAGACCUACACAAUAGGUGGUUUUAAAGCUGAGGAAGUGAAGACUCCCCAAGAUCUGGACUUUUGGCUUGAGGAUCUCUACACACCAGGAUUCGAUUCUUUACUGAAAAAGAAAGAAGCAGAACAUAAAAGAAAACAACUUUGUAAAAUAAUUUUUUCAAUCAUUUUGUCUGUUUGUGCGGUACUUAUUGUUAUCAUAGUGCCAAUUGUGGUUAAACAACAGAAAAACUGAUUGGUAAGGACAGUUAUUAUAUAGUACAACUUAGUGUAACUUAGCUCUUUGUAAGCGGUGGUCAUAUUUUCCUGUUCUUGUUUCAUUUUAAUAAAGAACCAGCUAGA